CACGGCAUUAUUCCAUUUGUUGUAUUUUAUUCUCUCACUCCCUCUUUUCCUCUCACUUAUAAUACUCAGCAGCUAUUAGCUAUUAAAUAGAAAGAGCAUGAGAGUAAGGAAGAGAGAGAUUACGAGUUAUUAAUGGGGAGAAUGUGAGAUUGAUGAAGAGAUUGAGAAAGAGGCAGGGUGUGAGAGAGAGGCUGGUAAAGAGAAAUCAGAGAUGAAGAAGAAAGUUACUGAUUGAAGAGAAUAAGAGGUAUAGAGAGAGACUUGUACAGUAAGAAAGAGAGCAGAAAGUGAAAGCCAGAAUUUGAGAGAUGGGACGAGCAGACAGUAAAGAUGAGAGAGAUUUGGUAGACUAUGGUUUUACGGAAUUAUUUUAGUGGGUUCAUACGAGAAUGGUAGAUUUGUCAAGAUGAGUAAAUUGCAGUUUAAAGAUUGCUCAUAGCUGUAGCCUAGAGGUGUAAACAGAUUUAGUAGAAAAAUCAAGCAACAAGGAAGUGCGUGGAGCAAGAGAGUUUCCUUUUUUUUUGGAUGAGUGCAAAGAGGCUACGACAAUAGGUUGCUUUAUGUUCUUAUUAAGCACUUUAUUGAGAGAUUGCUACACGGUCUAAUGCUGCUAAAAAAAUAUGUUAUUUUUUCUUCUUUUUGUGAUUGUGAGAUUGGGACAAGUGUUUAAACUUGUGACUAUUUUCAUUUUUAAUGUUCUGUUUCCCCUGUAUAUGCACCAUUGAUCCAAACUCCAAAGGCUAUGUUCUUUCCGGCUUCUACUGAUAAGUGUGGUGGAUUUGCCUUUAA